rnacentral:rRNA from 1 species
AGGAUGAACGCUGGCGGCGUGCCUAAAACAUGCAAGUCAUACGGGCUACCUUCGGGUAGCCAGUGGCAAACGGGUGAGUAACACGUGGGAACGCGCCUUGGGGUGGGGAAUAACGCUGAGAAAUCAGUGCUAAUACCGCAUAUGGUCUAACGACUAAAGCAGCAAUGCGCCCCGAGAGCGGCCCGCGACCGAUUAGCUAGUUGGUGGGGUAAUGGCCUACCAAGGAGGUGAUCGGUAGCUGGUCUGAGAGGAUGGUCAGCCACACUGGGACUGCGAACGGCCCAGACUCCUACGGGAGGCAGCAGUUAGGAAUUUUCGGCAAUGGACGAAAGUCUGACCGAGCGACGCCGCGUGGAGGAUGAAGCCUUUCGGGGUGUAAACUCCUUUUCUGCGGGAAGAUAAUGACGGUACCGCAGGAAUAAGCACCGGCUAACUACGUGCCAGCAGCCGC